UGUGUGGGGUGUUCUGGAUAUGAAGGAGUGUGCAUGGAGGUUGUGAGUGAUCAAUAAAGGAUCCAUCACUCCUAAAAAGAGGAGUGAACAUCUUAUAUGAUCUCAUAGGUUGAUGAUUCUAGAAGUCUUUGGCCAAAGUAAGAUGAUAAUUAAAAAAAAAUUUUGAUGUGUCAUCAACUGAAUCAUCACUUUCUGAUUGAGAUACAUUUAGAUAAACAAUUGGGUUUGACAUGAUUCCAUGCUCAUAGCUCAUCUGGGAUGUUGUUUGACUGAAGAAUUGAAUUACACGAGAAUUUACCACUAAAGGAUA
rnacentral:lncRNA from 1 species